rnacentral:rRNA from 1 species
GACAGAGGGUGCAAACGUUGUUCGGAAUCACUGGGCGUAAAGCGUGUGUAGGCGGUUAGGUAAGUCGGAUGUGAAAGCCCCGGGCUCAACCUGGGAAGUGCACCCGAUACUGCCUAGCUAGAGUAUCGGAGAGGUUGGUGGAAUUCUCGGUGUAGAGGUGAAAUUCGUAGAUAUCGAGAAGAACAUCGGUGGCGAAGGCGACCAACUGGACGAAUACUGACGCUGAGACACGAAAGCGUGGGGAGCAAACAGG